rnacentral:rRNA from 1 species
GAGUUUGAUCAUGGCUCAGGACGAACGCUGGCGGCGUGCUUAACACAUGCAAGUCGAGCGGAAAGGCCCUUCGGGGUACUCGAGCGGCGAACGGGUGAGUAACACGUGAGCAACCUGCCCUAGGCUUUGGGAUAACCCUCGGAAACGGGGGCUAAUACCGAAUAUUACUUGGUCUCGCAUGAGGUUGGGUGGAAAGUUUUUCGGCCUAGGAUGGGCUCGCGGCCUAUCAGCUUGUUGGUGGGGUAAUGGCCUACCAAGGCGACGACGGGUAGCCGGCCUGAGAGGGCGACCGGCCACACUGGGACUGAGACACGGCCCAGACUCCUACGGGAGGCAGCAGUGGGGAAUAUUGCACAAUGGGCGGAAGCCUGAUGCAGCGACGCCGCGUGAGGGAUGACGGCC